UUUAAUUGUGAAUAAAUCUUCUUCUUGAGGAGGUCUAUCUUGAGAGUGACUCUUUGAGAUGCCCUAGGAUUGAUCUUGAAGUGUUUGAGAGGGGUUAGGACUUCUUUAUUUUAAAUCUUGAAUUUCUGCACUUUCCCGCUUCUGCUGUAUUUUCUGCUGUCAACGUGAUUGGGGCGGUGAUUUGGGCAGAUCGCUGCCCCAAUCGCUUUCUGUGAGUCAGUCCAGUUUUUAGCUUUCUGUCUCUGCUUCCUCCGCUUGAUUUGGGCAGUGAUUUGGGCAAAUCGUCAUGCCCAAAUCAUUUCUGCGUGUUGCCUCCGGGUUUCU
rnacentral:lncRNA from 1 species